rnacentral:rRNA from 1 species
UACGGAGGGUGCAAGCGUUGCUCGGAAUUAUUGGGCGUAAAGGGUAGGUAGGUGGUCUUAUUUGUCUGGGGUGAAAGCCUUGAGCUUAACUCAAGAAGUGCCCCAGAAACGGUAAGACUAGAGUCCUGGAGAGGGUCGUGGAAUUCCCGGUGUAGCGGUGAAAUGCGUAGAGAUCGGGAGGAACACCGGUGGCGAAGGCGCACAUCUGGCCCGAUACUGACGCUGAGGCGCGAAAGCUAGGGGAGCAAACGGG